AUUACCCCUCAUACCCGGACGUCACUUUAAAUAGCCUACCUGCCUCUCUUCCAUCAUCUUGUACAACGAACCAUAAAAUCCACUAUGUCACUUGAACUCUGUGUCUGAUCCGUGACAGCAAGCCGCAGUCAUCAAGAACCAGGUUGGGGACAAACAAAACAAAAGGAAAACAACUCUAAAUUUAUUUCCCCCGCAUUUAUAUCGACACGGGAGAAGAUUUUGAGAAAGAAAGUGCGACAUUUAUUUUUUUUUGACACAAGGAGGAAACUAUAAACGGAUUCAGUUGCUGGACGAUGUGUAACUUAGAGCUACUUUAAUGGCGAAAUAUUCAUGAAAUCCUCCCGGCUACGACACACAGGACGAGGAGGAGCAGAAGAAGCAGAAGCCGUCAUUCCACCCCCGCCCGAUGAGCACAUUUUCAGCCCGCAUUACCUGUCUGCACACGGCGAAGAGACGAGAGGAUGUUAUCUCGGUUAAAUGAGAUGAUAUGGGCCGACUGGAUCUGGUUCCCAGAAGGCUACGGCUGGGACGACCUGAAGGAUCACGAUGGGAAAGUCUUCCCUAAAACUCGGGACCUGUGGGCGGUUCUCCCCGUCUCACUCUGCUUCCUUGUCAUCAGACAGAUAUUUGAGCAGACAAUAGCACUUCCUUUAGCGUCUCUGCUGGGAGUGAGAGACAAGCACCGUGUCUGUGCGUCGCCUAAUCCCGUCCUGGAGUCUCACUUCUGUAGCAAAUCUAAACAUCCCACACAGAGCUCCGUAGAGAGUUUAAGUAAACAGACGGGAUGCUCGGUGCAACAGGUGCAGAGCUGGUUCAGGCGACGGAGAAAUCAAGACCGACCCAACAAGCUCAAGAAGUUUCAGGAAGCGAGUUGGAGGUUUACAUUUUACCUUCUUGCUUUCUUUGCUGGCCUGGCAGUCCUUGUUGAUAAACCGUGGUUCCACGAUGUGAAACUGGUUUGGGAAAACUUCCCCAAAAUGCCGCUGUUGACCUCCCAGUACUGGUACUACAUGAUCGAGCUCGGCUUCUACGUCUCCCUGGUUUUCAGCUUGGCAUCGGAUGUCAAGCGGAAGGAUUUCAAAGAGCAAAUCGUUCACCAUGUGGCUACCAUCCUCCUCAUCAGCUUCUCCUGGCUGGUCAACUACAUCCGAGCCGGGACUUUGAUCAUGUUGGUGCACGACGCCUCUGACUAUCUUAUGGAGUCGGCCAAAAUGUUUAACUACGCAGGCUGGAAAAAAACCUGCAACUUCAUCUUCACCGUGUUCGCUGCAGUUUUCAUCAUCACCCGCCUCAUCAUCUUCCCCUUCUGGAUCAUAUAUGCAACAGGCGUGUACCCGCUGUCCCUCUACUCCACCUUCUUCGGCUUCUACUUCUUCAACGGGCUGCUGGUGGUGCUGCUGAUUCUGCACGUCUUCUGGACGGGACUCAUCCUGCGCAUGGUCAUCAAAUUCCUGCCAGGAAAUGACAUCGUGGAGGACGAGCGCAGCGAUAAGGAGGAGACAGAGUCGGACGACGAAGACGACUGCGGCAAGCCGAAGAACGGCCACGUGCAGAACGGUCGCUCUGCCCUCAAAAACCACAGGAAAAGAGACUGACUGGGCAGAAAGGGAGAGACUGGGUGAUUUAAAGACAACAACAAAAAAGAAAGGAAACGCAGUCAGCUCCGAGGGGAUGGCUCGGCCUCUCUGUGGAUUACACUAAGAUAGAAAAGGAGCCGUUACGAUCCCGUUUGCCUCCAAGCAGCAGAACAAAUUUCCACUUCUAUGUUUUUCCUCUUUGCCAGUCCGCCUGCUCGCAGCUUUGUUUUCUUGAUGGGAAUAUUUCCUGGAAACUCGGCGCUUCAGAUGGUUUCUCCCGUCCCACACAGCUCAUUAACGCUCUUUCGAGUGUCGACCUAAAAACUUGAGUUAUUUUUGCUCUAAAUAAACGCACUGACGCCAGAGAUGAUGUGAUGAGCACUACUGUAAAUGUGGCGGUGAUUUCUUUUUUUUUUUUUCUUUUUUUUUUUUCCUCCUAUGGACCAUAAAUUGCCUUUAGUCCAAAUUUUUAUUCAAUUACAAAAAAAACAUAAAAUAAAGGUUUCUGCUGCAUUUCUUUCGCUCUGGCUCUUUUCGGCUAAACAUUGCGCCUCCAGCGAGGUUUAAGACGAAACAAUUGCUAAAUAAUAAUAAUUGUAAUAGUGCGAGUGAAGGUGCCUAGCUUGCCAUAUGAACUGAAAUGUGCCUUUGGAGAAAUGUGUCUUUAAAUACUCACUUUUCUGAGAGAUGGUUUGUUUUAAAUGUUUGUUUUGUUUAAAAAUCUUUUAAGUUUUCUCAUUUUUCUUUCAUCGUUUAAUUCUCUUAGUGCGGCCAAAACGUUACAAUUUGGGAGCAAAGUGUUUGAUUAAGUCGAUCAGUAAAUGUUGAUUCUUUUCUGGCCGGAGUAAUCCAAAGCAUAUCCAUUUAGUAUACUUGUUUUUAUUUUUUUUAUCAUCAUUAUUAUUAUUAUUAUUUAUGUCACGGUCAUCUUGAGAUGCACUUUACGGUUCUUAGGCGAUCAGUAUUGACUGAAAAAAACUGGUGAAUCAUUUUAGUUGCAGUGUUUGAUUCAGAUUUCAAAUCAUUAUUUGUUUGGAGGUUCAAAAAAUAAUUUCAAUCGUUUUUUUUUUUUUUUAGGUUUUUUWAAAAAUAUUUAUUCACGUGAAUAUUCAUUUGUUUUGAUAGAAUUUUUUGGUUUAGCUAUGAGCAAAGAAAGAUGGUAGUGAGUAAACAAAACGUAACGCCAAAUUGUUGUUUACACUUUCUAAGACGUUAUUUGCAAGUGCCUUCAUCAUUUCAACUGUUAAAUUGUUAGAAAAACUAAAUCUUCUUCUUGACCAAUCACACGCAGCUCUCCGUUGACAACUUUGCUUCUGCUGAAGUGUUCUUAUCCUCCCAGAGUUGUACAUUUCUAACAUGGAUGACAUAAAUUCGUGUGGAAAACGUUUGUUUUUGCUGCAUUUAUUUCUGAAGAUGAUGUUGAAAUGUUUUUAUGGACUUUAUUUCUGAACUGAAAAAUUUUUUUCAUUGAAGAUUGCUUUGUGUUUUCUUUGCAUUUUGUAGACAAAUAAUAUGACUAGUUGGGUAAAUACAAAA